rnacentral:tRNA from 1 species
GGGCGGUACAGGGUGGUAGUGGCCGGGACGCGCCUUGCACGGUUCAGGUCCGUGUCCCCGUAAGGGGGUGGAGGUUCAAGUCCUCUCUCGCCCA